UCUGUCUGUACUCACUACAGCCACAAGCCUGUUAUUAUCACAGAGACAAAGAAAACCCUGUCACUGCUGAUGACAGGACUCACAGAUUCUUCGUCCAUGUUGUUGACUAUGAGCAGUCUCACUGGGGGAAAGGUCCUUGAUCCUGUGGCUGCUUGUCUGACGGCACGACAAUACAGGAAGACAACACUUAUAGUACGUGUAGGAGGACACAGCAGAGAUGUCAAUACAAGAGAGAAGAACAAACAAGGAAACCAUACGAGAGAUGAGAUACAAACAAUUGGUGAGGCCGAAUCUCUAGGACGACAGAGCUCCAGAUCCAAAAGGUCUGGAAAUAUGGCAGUGAGAGGACUGAGUCGGUCCCUGCCUGUUUACAUCAUGUGCACAAACAAUACAGGAGCAAAAGGAUCCCACUCAAAUUUCCGACAACGACUGAAAUUCUGAGAAACAAAGACGCAGAGGUCAGUUCGUCCCGGCGCCCUGAGGAUCUGGUAAUCUGAUACAGAGAUGGAACAGCAGAUUUCUCGACUUUAACAAUAAUCCCUCAAGAUCCACUUUCACUCAACAAAGUGGUUACAACAUUAAAUUGUUGUGUAAUGUCACUAUCGCCUCUGCAUGUAGGGAGAAUGAAACCAAAUAAGUGAGCUGCUGACUCUGCAAAAAAUAAUCUCAGUUAAUCAGGCGGUCCUCCCGAGAGCUGGGAAACAGAGAGAGGCAUAAACAGGUUUGGGUUCGGCUGCACAUAACUUUUAACUACUGAUCCACAGCGUUUGCAUCUGGCCACGCACAAAUAAAAACACAUCACAAACGGUGUUCAAGUGCAAUGUUAAUGUAAAACGCAAUAAAUCUGCACUUAAUGUAGUGCCCCUUCCUGGAAUGUCUUUAUAUCACACUAUGCUCCUGUUUCAAAAAAAUAAAACAGACGUUUCGAUGCCUAUCUGGCAGAAGGACAUGGAAUCUGAGAGGCCAUAACCAAACCAAUAAGCCGAGCGACGAUUAUUCAGCAGCCUGGCUGAGAGACAGCUGUCAGGGAAACACAGUCACACACUCCCACAGGCUUUGAACCUGAGCUGAGGCAUCAUGGGAGCAGAGAAAUGAAACGAGGUUCAGACGGGUUUGACUUCCUAUGGCAGCUGUGUUUGUGUGUGUGUGUACGUGUGUACAGGUGUUUAUCAUUUUGUGGGGACCGAGGACUAUUUACAGUCAUUAUGGGGACUUGUCACGCUUAUAGGGACAAAAACCUAAUUCCCUUAAAUAAUUUAAUGUUACGGUGAAUACAUGUUAUAAUACAAUAUCACUAAUAUUUUUUAACACAGCGGACAAGGCAUGCAUGUGUGAGUAUGUGUGUGUGUGUGCAUCUGUGAGUUGAUGCCCUUUUGAUAAGUCCCGUCCUGACCUUUCCAUCACGGUUUUGUCCUUGAUAGUCUUCGUCAUCAUUCACAAACAGUGGCACAGCACCUCUGUAGGAACAAGCUGUGCGGCCAGUGACGCCCACACUCAAUAAAGACAUCCAAUUUCCUCCCUGUUGGUUUUAUAUAAGAGUGACGCUGAGCCUGUCAAGUCUGAAUCUAGUGACCACAAUAACAAAGGCCCCAUUAUAAAGAUCCAGUCAUUUGUGGGACAGCACUCCAGCCAUCACAGUGUGUAACAGCUGAUUACAGUGCCGAGCCAGCAGAUGGCACCAUAUUACCUUUAUACUUGCAGAGGGGAUGGCUCCACAAACUGCACAGCCAGCUCUUUGAUUUAUUAGG